rnacentral:rRNA from 1 species
AGAGUUUGAUCCUGGCUCAGAGCGAACGCUGGCGGCAGGCCUAAUACAUGCAAGUCGAGCGGGUCCUUCGGGAUUAGCGGCGGACGGGUGAGUAACGCGUGGGAACGUGCCCUUUGGUACGGAACAACUGAGGGAAACUUCAGCUAAUACCGUAUGUGCCCUUCGGGGAAAGAUUUAUCGCCAUUGGAGCGGCCCGCGUUGGAUUAGGUAGUUGGUGAGGUAAAGGCUCACCAAGCCUACGAUCCAUAGCUGGUCUGAGAGGAUGACCAGCCACACUGGGACUGAGACACGGCCCAGACUCCUACGGGAGGCAGCAGUAGGGAAUCUUGCGCAAUGGGCGAAAGCCUGACGCAGCCAUGCCGCGUGAAUGAUGAAGGUCUUAGGAUUGUAAAAUUCUUUCACCGGGGACGAUAAUGACGGUACCCGGAGAAGAAGCCCCGGCUAACUUCGUG